CAAUAAUUUUGACCGGUUGUCAGCUCUUCCAGGAUAUGCGCCGACCCACCAAGGCAUGGACUCAGAGUCCUGUGGUAUCUGGUACCAAGACGUAAGCAGCAGAUCCUUCAAGUCCUAAUGUUCUGACUUGAGCCACAGUUGGCCUUCUGGACCAGACGGGAAGCCUUUGUUGCCCUUGCUCAUCGAUUCGCGUUGGGCGCCCAACACCCUGUCGCUGGUUUGUGGUCCGUCCCUCCUCGGACCACUGCCAGUAAGAAGUCACCGCUGCUGACCCUGAGCACCCCACAAGCAAUGCCCUAUCACAGAGUUCUUUUGCAAAUUUGGCGCAGGGCUACAUCGACUUCACAGAUUCAGAAGCAACAGGAACAGGCACAUCGGGUCAUGAAAUAAGGGUGAGCAGAAGCAGGAGCAGGAGGCUGCCUUUGCAAAUGCAGACAACAGUAUUUCCUUCACAUGUCAUCUAUAGAGGUGCUCCAAUUGUAAAUGCAUCAACGUCUACUCCCAGGGCCUCCGACGAAAGCUUUGAAGGAAACAGAAGCCAGCUAAUCACGCCGACACAGAAGAUGUUUCAUUUCUACUGAGAAAAUAGACUAAGGGAGACAAAGUGGAGCACUGAAGCAAUCGAAGUGAGUGCUGAUAAGACAGAAGCCAGAACGCCCAGAGCAUUUUAGACACAUGACCCUGUGGGUGGAGCUAAGUGAUGAAGCCUCCCUAAUGAACGGGGCAGGUCUCUGCCAACGGCCCUGUUUCAACAACAAUUACAACUCAUUUUUGGAUUUGCAAGCACCGCUAUCCACCAAACCAAGCUAAUGACAAUUUUUUUUUUAUAUUUUCCAAUAAUAAAGAUGGCUAUAUCUGUGAUUGCAUUCCACGGGUCAUGACAUUUGAAUGUCUGCAGUUGAAAGCUAAUGCUAACGCUAACUCUUACACUCUCCUUGACAUGUCUCACAUGGCCUUUCCUCAAAACGUGGAUGA